rnacentral:misc_RNA from 1 species
CAACAAGUAGGGUUUUAGCUUUCACAAGAAAUCAAGAAGCAAUGCCGAAGUCGAAGCGUAAUAGAGCCGUUACCUUAUCUAAGACGAAGAAGAAGGGUAAGGAGCAUAAAGAAAACAUUGUUAACUCAAUAAGGGAAUGCGCGGAGAAGUAUAGUUCAGCGUACGUAUUUAGUUUCGAAAACAUGAGAAAUCUCAAGUUCAAG